rfam:Capsella rubella cultivar Monte Gargano unplaced genomic scaffold scaffold_1, whole genome shotgun sequence.
AAAUUGGUCUCUUUAGAGACCAUUUUUAUUUCAAGAAUCUUGUGGU